AGUGAACGCUGGCGGUAGGCCUAACACAUGCAAGUCGAACGGCAGCACAGUAAGAGCUUGCUCUUACGGGUGGCGAGUGGCGGACGGGUGAGGAAUACAUCGGAAUCUACUUUUUCGUGGGGGAUAACGUAGGGAAACUUACGCUAAUACCGCAUACGACCUACGGGUGAAAGCAGGGGAUCUUCGGACCUUGCGCGAUUGAAUGAGCGGAUGUCGGAUUAGCUAGUGGGCGGGGUAAAGGCCCACCAAGGCGACGAUCCGUAGCUGGUCUGAGAGGAUGAUCAGCCACACUGGAACUGAGACACGGUCCAGACUCCUACGGGAGGCAGCAGUGGGGAAUAUUGGACAAUGGGCGCAAGCCUGAUCCAGCCAUACCGCGUGGGUGAAGAAGGCCUUCGGGUUGUAAAGCCCUUUUGUUGGGAAAGAAAAGCAGCAGGUUAAUACCCCGCUGUUCUGACGGUACCCAAAGAAUAAGCACCGGCUAACUUCGUG
rnacentral:rRNA from 1 species